UGGGGAAUAUUGCACAAUGGGCGCAAGCCUGAUGCAGCCAUGCCGCGUGUAUGAAGAAGGCCUUCGGGUUGUAAAGUACUUUCAGCGAGGAGGAGGGCGGUAAGGUUAAUAACCUUAUCGAUUGACGUUACUCGCAGAAGAAGCACCGGCUAACUCCGUGCCAGCAGCCGCGGUAAUACGGAGGGUGCAAGCGUUAAUCGGAAUUACUGGGCGUAAAGCGCACGCAGGCGGUCUGUCAAGUCGGAUGUGAAAUCCCCGGGCUCAACCUGGGAACUGCAUUCGAAACUGGCAGGCUAGAGUCUUGUAGAGGGGGGUAGAAUUCCAGGUGUAGCGGUGAAAUGCGUAGAGAUCUGGAGGAAUACCGGUGGCGAAGGCGGCCCCCUGGACAAAGACUGACGCUCAGGUGCGAAAGCGUGGGGAGCAAACA
rnacentral:rRNA from 1 species